GACGAACGCUGGCGGCGUGCCUAAUACAUGCAAGUUGAGCGGUGAAGGUUGGUACUUGUACCAACUGGAUGAGCAGCGAACGGGUGAGUAACGCGUGGGGAAUCUGUCUUUGAGCGGGGGACAACAGUUGGAAACGAAUGCUAAUACCGCAUAAAAACUUUAAACACAAGUUUUAAGUUCGAAAGAUGCAAUUGCAUCACUCAAAGAUGAUCCCGCGUUGUAUUAGCUAGUUGGUGAGGUAAAGGCUCACCAAGGCGAUGAUACAUAGCCGACCUGAGAGGGUGGUCGGCGACAUUGGGACUGGGACAGGGGCCAGACCCCGACGGGAGGCAGCAGUAGGGAAUCUUCGGAGCUGGACGAGAGUCUGACCGAGCGACGCCGCGUGAGUGAAGAAGGUGUUCGGGUCGUAAAACUCUGUUGGUAUGGAAGAACGUUGGUUAGCGUGUCAAGCUCGUCAAGUGACGGUAACUAAACAGAAAGGUACGGCUAACUACGUG
rnacentral:rRNA from 1 species